rnacentral:lncRNA from 1 species
CAAAUCAUUCACUACUGUGUGUUCCUCCGUCUCACCCCAGGGAGCUGCAAGCCCGUUCCCGCGUUCCGCACACAUCAGGCACGAGGUCACAUACCGGGAAAAGACUGGCACGCCGACUCCACUCACAUGCCUCCUACACAUAAGAAAACUCAUACUAAAGGUNAAAGUGGGCCCAGGAGACUCUCCAUCUCCACCAGAAAUUACUCCCCAUUCGGAUGCCCCUUGCUACUCCAGCACCAUCUUGGGCCUCGACAGGCUCCGACUGGAUCAAAUCCCUGAAGAAGCGGAACAGCCAAAAAUAACAAUAUUGAUAAGUAAAAGGGAUGAUCAGAUGUAUUGGUUGCUGGUUGGACUGGGACUCCCUUUACUUCCCUUGUUUGGAAUAGGACUGUAUUCUGUACCCGCCUUGAGUGGACUCCUGUUAAGAAGCUCCUCUUAUGUUUCAUUUACUUGCUUAUGGUUUCCAUCCUUUGCAGUCUUCUUUCACUGUAAAUUUAAAUGAACUUAUUGCCCACUUUUCUACAUGUAAUAUCACAAAACCUCACUUUUUCACAAAAUCUCAUAAUCACUGAUCUUUCCACACCUCUUGAUUUUAUUACUGACCUAUGGUUACAGGGAGGCUUAACAGACUUUACACCUGUCCAAAUUUACUUCUGUACCUGGGUCCUUAUCCUCCUCAUUUACUCCCUUUAAAUACGAGCCACCACACCAUGGUACUGAUCUCGUUCUCUUUUCUUCUAUACAUCCAGCAUGCCCUACCUAAUUCUCACUCUACCCCAGAUUUAACUUGCCUUUUAAAACCUUAAUCUACCAUUUCCUCAAUACCUCAAAUCCAGCCCUGUCUAGUGAUUGUUGGAUCUGUUUGUCCAUCUCCUCGCCAGGUGGAUCAGUCCUACCUGUCUCCACAGAUCAGUGGAACCACGUAAACACUUCCCCUACCACACCUACAGGGGAGAACCCCUCUUUUUGUCCUAUAUGUGCUAUUUAUAUUCACUAGAUCAAACCAACAAUCCUGAUAAAAUGUUGUCCUCCCUUCUUGCUGACCCCGCUUCCAUCCAUAUCAAACUGACUAUGGGAGGACCUCCUACCUCUGAUGUCUGCUUACAGCAAAAGGCUCCCUUCUGUUUUUCUAGACACGACUCUAUAAAUAACUCCCACCCACGUCUAGGCUCUAUACUAUUGUACCUCACAUCCUACCUUUCCUUCAGACCAUGCUAUUUACCGUGUCUCGGGAGUUCCAGGACACUCCAUUGCUUUCUCAGGAAGGUUUCCUUCAGCCUCUGAAGAUACCAGCCCCCUCGUAGGAGCCACACGAGCUGGCUCCUUAUUGUUUGGGAGUCAGCUAACAAAUACCCAGAAAGACUCUUAUUUGCUAUUGAUUUCAGUUGCUGCCUUACUCCUGAAAUAUUUUUCUUAUGUGGAACCACCACUUUAUGUCUUCUGACUAACUGGACAGGGAGAUGCGCCCUGGUAUAUCUAGCUCCAGAUAUCUCUAUAGCCCCUAACAACCAGAUCCCCCCUAUCCCACUAAUCCACAACUGACCCAAACAAGCAAUUCAAUUCAUUCCCUUAUUGAUAAGCUCAGGAAUAGCAGCAGAGAUCAAAACAGAGAGUACAGGGCUCACAACCUCUUUAAUCUACUAUCAGAGUCUCUCUAAGGAUCUUAAUGGAGGCCUACAAGAAGUAGCUGCCAGCCUUAUCACUCUCCAGGGCCGACUAGAUUCCCUGGCAGCUGUGGUUCUUCAAAACAGAAGAGGGUUAGACCUUCUCACAGCAGAAAAGGAGGCCUAUGUCUUUUUCUAGAUGAAGCCUGCUAUUUCUACGCCAAUAAAUCAGGUGUUGUAAAGGAGGCAGCAAGGAAUCUGACAAACAGGGCCUCAAGAAUAUGUCAACAUCUCAGUAAUCCAUGGGAAAACUGGUUAAGCAAUUCGGAUUGGAUGCUACGGGUCCUACCUUUACUGGGCCGCCUUCUCAUAUUAACCCUCAUUCUGAUGUUCAGCCUGUGUCUAAUGUGUCUGUUUUCAAAGUUUGUCCAGGAUCACCUACGAACCUUUGCCAACCAGACUGUUCAGGAGUUACUUCUAACUUGCUUCAGUUAUCAAAAGCUUCAAGCCCACUCAGACUUCCCUUAACCCAUGUUCCAGCCUUUUCUUAUCUUACCCCAUGACGUUGCCCCAAACCAGCGUGAAGCAGAUACUGAAGACUGACCUUCGGCCCGUAUCCUAUAUCAAAAAAUGCUGUAUUGUUAGGCCUCACAAGGGGCUCAUAGCGUAUAGUUAAAAUAUGGCCCACUGUGGUGACCUGACAAACAAGGGAUGAAGUCUCAGUGGCCACAUUACC